rnacentral:rRNA from 1 species
GUGGGGAAUUUUGGACAAUGGGGGCAACCCUGAUCCAGCAAUGCCGCGUGCAGGAAGAAGGCCUUCGGGUUGUAAACUGCUUUUGUACGGAACGAAAAGGCUCUGGUUAAUACCUGGGGCACAUGACGGUACCGUAAGAAUAAGCACCGGCUAACUACGUGCCAGCAGCCGCGGUAAUACGUAGGGUGCCAGCGUUAAUCGGAAUUACUGGGCGUAAAGCGUGCGCAGGCGGUGCUGUAAGACAGGCGUGAAAUCCCAGGGCUUAACCUGGGAAUGGCGCUUGUGACUGCAGUGCUGGAGUGUGGCAGAGGGGGAUGGAAUGCCGCGUGUAGCAGUGAAAUGCGUAGAUAUGCGGAGGAACACCGAUGGCGAAGGCAAUCCCCUGGGCCUGCACUGACGCUCAUGCACGAAAGCGUGGGGAGCAAACAGGAUUAGAUACCCUUGUAGUCC